GCUUGAGCGGCCGGCCUGUCCAUGGCUGGGAGCGAGCUCUUACUGUGGUGCAAAGAUGCGUUUGCCAGCUUGAUUUGGCCAAACGAACCGCCCAAGG
rnacentral:SRP_RNA from 1 species